rnacentral:rRNA from 1 species
GAUGAACGCUGGCGGCGUGCCUAAUACAUGCAAGUCGAGCGAACAGACGAGGAGCUUGCUCCUCUGACGUUAGCGGCGGACGGGUGAGUAACACGUGGAUAACCUACCUAUAAGACUGGGAUAACUUCGGGAAACCGGAGCUAAUACCGGAUAAUAUAUUGAACCGCAUGGUUCAAUAGUGAAAGACGGUUUUGCUGUCACUUAUAGAUGGAUCCGCGCCGCAUUAGCUAGUUGGUAAGGUAACGGCUUACCAAGGCGACGAUGCGUUGCCGACCUGAGAGGGUGAUCGGCCACACUGGAACUGAGACACGGUCCAGACUCCUACGGGAGGCAGCAGUAGGGAAUCUUCCGCAAUGGGCGAAAGCCUGACGGAGCAACGCCGCGUGAGUGAUGAAGGUCUUCGGAUCGUAAAACUCUGUUAUUAGGGAAGAACAAAUGUGUAAGUAACUAUGCACGUCUUGACGGUACCUAAUCAGAAAGCCACGGCUAACUACGUG